GGAGUGAUUAACUGGUUAUCUGGUAACCCAAACUAUGGUACAAAUAGUAUGAUGCAUUUUAGGCUCACAUAGUAGUGAUAUUUAGCUAAGGCCAACCGAGAGGUUUAAUUAGGCACCAAGAAAGAUAUGCAAGACAGAUAGAAACAUAAAGAUACAUUCUUAUGCUUGAAUAUAGGCACUUUGAGGUCAACUAACACGACUAGAGAAUCAUAACUAUGCUAAUAUGAGCUGGGAAACAUACAAACACACAGGGAUAUAUCGUAUACAUUUGGAAUGGCUUAUAUCCUGAGUUAAAUGCAAGAAGGUUUGAGUGUGAAUGUGUGUGUGUGUGUGUGUGUGUGUGUGUGUGUGUGUGUGUGUGUGUGUGUGUGUGUGUGUGU